rnacentral:rRNA from 1 species
CGGUGGUAAUGGCGUAAAGGUAACACUCCUUCCCAUACCGAACAGGUAAGUUAAGCUUUACAGCGCUGAUGGUACUGCAGGGGAAGCCCUGUGGGAGAGUAAGACACUGCCGGGUA